rnacentral:rRNA from 1 species
GCAUAACGCGAAGAACCUUACCAAGGCUUGACAUGCAUUUCUAAGCGCGUGAAAGCGCGUGACCCUUCGGGGGACUUGCACAGGUGCUGCAUGGCCGUCGUCAGCUCGUGUCGUGAGAUGUUGGGUUAAGUCCCGCAACGAGCGCAACCCUUGCGAACAGUUGCCAGCGCGUGAUGGCGGGAACUCUGUUCGGACUGCCCAGAUCAACUGGGAGGAAGGUGGGGACGACGUCAGGUCAGUAUGGCCCUUACGCCUUGGGCUGCACACGUACUACAAUGCCCGGCACAAUGAGAACCGAGACCGCGAGGUGGAGGAAAUCUGGAAAACCGGGCCCAGUUCGGAUUGGAGGCUGCAACCCGCCUCCAUGAAGUCGGAAUCGCUAGUAAUGGCGCAUCAGCUACGGCGCCGUGAAUACGUUCCCGGGUCUUGUACACACCG